rnacentral:rRNA from 1 species
UACGAAGGGUGCAAACGUUGCUCGGAAUUAUUGGGCGUAAAGCGCACGUAGGCGGCUUAGCAAGUUGGAUGUGAAAUCCCUCGGCUCAACCAAGGAAGUGCAUCCAAAACUGCUGAGCUUGAAUACUUAAGAGGAUCGCGGAAUUCCCGGUGUAGAGGUGAAAUUCGUAGAUAUCGGGAGGAACACCAGUGGCGAAGGCGGCUCACUGGCCCGGUACUGACGCUGAGGUGCGAAAGCGUGGGGAGCAAACAGG